UAAUAGUUCUAAACUAUUGUACCAUAGUUGAGUUAAGUUCUAAACUAUUAUACCAUGGUCUGCACUCUGCAGUAGAAAUUCAUGGUUCACCAGCUGCUCAUCAGUUGUAGCCACUAGCCAGUUGCCUAGUUGUUAUGAAAGGAACAAAGGAGAUUGAAGUUCUCCAGUUUUACUGUUGUAGACUAUGAAAUGCUGACCAGUUAUCUGCAGUUUGAAAUCCACCUGCCCAAGACUUAGAUUCAGAGACUGAGAAAACACGAGCUGAAGAAGUUUAGAAAAAAAAGUGCUAUGUAAAAUGACUGAAGAUAUUCUAAAAUCAGUUAAGUAAAUAGUAAAAACUUGUUGUGUCACAAACUGUUGAAAAAAUCUUCUUGACACAAAACUCAUGGAAAUAAAAAUUCAUUUGUGGAUGAAACCAGGCAAUCAAGCUUAGGGAAAUUAUCUCUGAUAAUUUAAUGGUCACGCCUAUUUCCCCCGGCUGCCGGGGGGCGCUAAAGUCAAAAUUGUCUAUUGACCACCGGCUUCGGCUCACAGGGAAACGGUGUAAUCCCACUGAGCUUGCACGAUGCCUAGGUAAUAAGGCGUGCAACAUACGAUACAGCUGGCCUUAUCUUCUUGGCUGUACGUUGACAGAAGUCGAGUCAAAGGAAAACGAUAUUUAGUUCUAUCCUGGAUAAGCCAAGUUUAAAACAGAUGUCAUCACUUUGGAUAAAGCUGGGCGAAACAUAAACAGUCCACAGUGUCCUGUGGCUGCCAGGGGGAAAUAGUACAUUUUGACGUUAAUGCCCUACAACUGCCGGGGGGAAAUAGAUUUUACCUAAUUGAAUAUAAGCUCUUCGUACAUAAGAUAAAGCAGUCAAUCCAGGAAGUUAAUUGGAUUACAAACUAAACUUUGGUGGCCGAAGUACAAAACAAGUAUGGAACAUGACCACGAAAGACACAUUCAAAAUGCUGAAUAGCAGAGGUGACUUAUUCAUCAAUGUAGAUGGUUACAUUUCUCUUGGUAGAGGGAUUAUUGCUAAUUGAGCUUUUAUUACAGUUUUUAUUUUUAUGCAGUGAUCUGAAACUGAGACUGGAACUUCUAAGUUCAAAGCAUUUCCCAUUGUAUUAAUCCAGCAUAUUCAGCUGAAGCAAACAAAUGCAAGCUUAUACAAUUAAGAAUAUUUCGGGGUUUUCAAAGAUUCCCAGUCCAAAAAUAUCUACACUUUAUCUAUAUUAUAUAUAUAUUAUAAAUGUUUUAAAUUCAUUUUUCUAAAUAUUUUGUCUUUGGUACUCGAAUAGGCAACAUCGCAGGAAAGCCCAUGUUCCUGAAGUAUAUCCGACGCCAUUAUGACUGUUGGAUUUCUCAUUUCUCUGAGAAUGUUGUUCAGGACUUCAGAUCUACUUGACACUUCCAUAUCUUGAUCAAUGAACACAUUUUGCAAUGUGUCUGCAACUGUGCUUUGAUCUCCAUAGGAGCUGUGAACAUUCAAAAUUAAUUAAAAUUUCUUUUUCUGCAAUUUAAAAACUGGUUUCACAAACAUAGAAAAUGAAUGGGAAAAAAUGGAAUUAUCCCGUGAUGGAAAUUGGUAGACAAAAUAUAAAAUGGUCUGAAGUUGAACAUAGUAAGCUAAACAUGCUACGCAAACUGGAGUUGCGAAAGGCAGUGGAACGGUGCUCGGAAGGUGACGGACAACUUGAUGACUGUGAAAUUGUACAGUACGAUGAGUAACCAGUUUACGAGAAGGUUUAGGUAUCCGAAAUGCGCUAUUUGCAAUUGUUUGUUUCGCUAAAAUUGUUUCCUUGCAUAUUUUGAUUUGAAUCGUAAUGUAGAAAGUUGACAAAUGUUCGUGAUGCAAUACGUUUCAGAGUUGCAUCGUUUGGGUUCAGGAAGGUAAAGUUCCCUUUUAUAGAACCGCUCAGACAGGAAUGUGAAAGGUGUUGACACCAUCCCAAUGUUUACAAAAAGCUUGCAGUUCUUAUUUUGCUUUGGUUAAAGCUCUUUUUGUCCAAGCGAAAUCCAUCUUGCUAGUAUUUCAAUUUCUCGUAUGCCAGUUCUUAAUUGCGUAAAACACCUCGGGUCUACACUGCUUUUUUUGGGAAAUGUAGUAACUUCUGAUUUUCACCUAUCAUCCGGGUUUUCUUUCUUUUAUGCAGAUAUUUCCCAAUCGCGUAGCUCCGAUCCAUUAUGCGCUAAGUUGGCGUUAAUCUUUCUUGUUUUAGAGGAAAUGGCAUGCCGAAUGUUGCGGAGAAAUUUGACCAAAAGGAUGCAUAAGAUAGCAUAGACUCUUCAUUCUCACGGAGAAACAGCGAAUGAAUUGCGUUGAUGAAUUAACGAUCUGCGAUGAUUGCUAAUUAACGAAAGAAUUGUUUGCAGAUGAUAGUAAAUUGCUGAUGAAGCUCCACGAUUCCCAACUACUCAACACAUACUGCGAUGGAAGACCACACUGAGUGGAAGAAAGAGCUCUCCAUCAGUGAGAGGAGGUGAUUUGGACUUGGUGGAAUACCUGAUGUCUUCAACUGUCGCGCCGGCAUCUGUGUUUCUGCUUUCGUUCCACCACAUUUCUAUGUCGGUAGCAUGUUGGGCGUAUCAAUGGAAAAUCAAAUAUGCCGAUCUGAAGAAAACAAACAAAAGCGAGGUCGCAGAUUUAAUUUGGCAGGAGCUUGGUAUUCAGCGGUGUUUACUUAGAGUAAAAUACACGACUUUGCUAGA